rnacentral:rRNA from 1 species
UACGGGGGGGGCAAGCGUUGUUCGGAAUUACUGGGCGUAAAGGGCUCGUAGGCGGCCAACUAAGUCAGACGUGAAAUCCCUCGGCUUAACCGGGGAACUGCAUCUGAUACUGGAUGGCUUGAGUUCGGGAGAGGGAUGUGGAAUUCCAGGUGUAGCGGUGAAAUGCGUAGAUAUCUGGAGGAACACCGGUGGCGAAGGCGGCGCUCUGGACCGAGACUGACGCUGAGGCGCGAAAGCGUGGGGAGCAAACAGG